GAUGAACGCUGGCGGCAUGCCUAAUACAUGCAAGUCGAACGAGAGGAAGGAAAGCUUGCUUUCCUGAAUCUAGUGGCGAACGGGUGAGUAACACGUAGGUAACCUGCCCAUGUGCCCGGGAUAACUUCUGGAAACGGAUGCUAAAACCGGAUAGGUAGCAGACAAGCAUUUGACUGCUAUUAAAGUGGCCUUGGCCAUGAACAUGGAUGGACCUGCGGUGCAUUAGCUGGUUGGUGAGGUAACGGCCCACCAAGGCGACGAUGCAUAGCUGGUCUGAGAGGAUGACCAGCCACACUGGAACUGAGACACGGUCCAGACUCCUACGGGAGGCAGCAGUGGGGAAUAUUGCACAAUGGGCGCAAGCCUGAUGCAGCCAUGCCGCGUGUAUGAAGAA
rnacentral:rRNA from 1 species